AGAAACAGUAGCGUGAGCGGCUGUGGAGUGUAUAGAAGUGAGAAUGCCGGAAUGAGUAGCGCGAAUGCAGUGAGAAUCUGCAUGGCCGAAAGCCUCAGGUUUUUGGAGGAAGGUUCGUCCGCUCCAAGUUAGUCGGGAGCUAAGGUGAGGCCGGAAGGCGUAGCCGAUGCACAGACGGUAGAGAUUCCGUCACCACCAAAAGAGUUAAGCACAGGGACACAUUUGAAGUCUCAGAGCCGGGUGUUGGUUCCGGUAGAGAUCGAGGGAAGUUAGUACCGAAGUCUGAGAUGGAAGAUGGCGAGAAAAGCUGUGUGUAUUUCUGAGGUGCCCGUACCGCAAACCGACACAGGUAGGUAGGAAGAAGAUUCUAAGGCCAACGGGAGAAGGGUUGUUAAGGAACUCGGCAAAUUGACCCCGUAACUUCGGGAGAAGGGGUGCUCCAGAGAUGGAGCCGCAGAGAAUCGGCCCAAGCAACUGUUUACCAAAAACACAGGUUUGUGCUAAAUCGAAAGAUGACGUAUACGAGCUGACGCCUGCCCGGUGCUGGAAGGUUAAGAGGAGAUGUGCAAGCAUUGAAUCGAAGCCCCAGUGAACGGCGGCCGUAACGAUAACGGUCCUAAGGUAGCGAAAUUCCUUGUCAGGUAAGUUCUGACCCGCAUGAAAGGCGUAAUGAUUUGGGCACUGUCUCAACAGCCCGCCCGGCGAAAUUGUAGUACCGGUGAAGAUGCCGGUACCCGCGACAAGACGGAAAGACCCCAUGGAGCUUUACUGUAGCCUAAUAUUGGGUUUCGAUGUUGCAUGCACAGGAUAGAUGGGACACUAGGAAACAAUCGCUUUGGCGGUUGCGGAGUGGCCGUUGGGAUACCAUCCUUGCGAUAUUGGAAUUCUAACCUGCGGCUCUGAAUCGAGUCGGGGGACAUUGUUAGGUGGGCAGUUUGACUGGGGCGGUCGCCUCCUAAAAAGUAACGGAGGCGUUCAAAGGUUCGCUCAGCUUGAACGGAAAUCAAGCAAAAAAGUGCAAACGCAGAAGCGUGCCUAACUGCGAGACUGACGGGUCGAGCAGUAACGAAAGUUGGAGUUAGUGAUCCGGUGGUAUGUGAGUGGAAAUGCCAUCGCUCAACGGAUAAAAGUUACCCUGGGGAUAACAGGCUGAUCUCCCCCAAGAGUCCACAUCGACGGGGAGGUUUGGCACCUCGAUGUCGGCUCAUCGCAUCCUGGGGCUGUAUUCGGUCCCAAGGGUUUGGCUGUUCGCCAAUUAAAGCGGUACGCGAGCUGGGUUCAGAACGUCGUGAGACAGUUCGGUCCCUAUCUGUCGUGGGCGCAGGAUAUUUGAUGGGAGCUGUCCCUAGUACGAGAGGACCGGGACGGACGUACCUCUGGCGCACCAGUUGUUCCGCCAGGAGCAUAGCUGGGCAACUACGUACGGAUCGGAUAAACGCUGAAAGCAUCUAAGCGUGAAGCCGACCCAAAGAUAAGAUGUCCCAUUGUUUUAAACAAGUAAGACCCCUUGAAGACUACAAGGUUGAUAGGCACGAUGUGUAAGUGGAGUGAUCCAUUCAGCAAGCGUGUACUAAUAGGUCGAGGGCUUGACC
rnacentral:rRNA from 1 species